rnacentral:rRNA from 1 species
UACAGAGGGGGCAAGCGUUGUUCGGAAUUACCGGGCGUAAAGGGCGCGUAGGCGGCCCGCUAAGUCGAACGUGAAAUCCCCGAGCUCAACUCGGGAACUGCGUCCGAUACUGGCGGGCUUGAAUCCGGGAGAGGGAUGUGGAAUUCCAGGUGUAGCGGUGAAAUGCGUAGAUAUCUGGAGGAACACCAAUGGCGAAGGCAGCUCGCUGGAACGGUACUGACGCUGAGGCGCGAAAGCGUGGGGAGCGAACAGG